GGUGGACCCUUGGAUAGUUUGGAGGACAUGAAACUAGGGCUGGAAAAAAUUCCCAAAAAUCCCAAACCAAACUGAAAAAAUCCCAAACCGAAACCGAAAUUAUCCCGAACUUUUGUAAUCCCAUGACAAAAAAUACCAAAAUAUUCGAUAUGAGAUUAGUUUUUCAGAUUUCAUUUUUCGGUAAUCCCGAAAUCCCGAAAUCUUCUUUUCCUUUUGCUUUUGGUUCGUACUUCCCACGCUACCAAAGAACAAAGUGUGCAAAAAAGCAAACUGCAAUAUCAAUUAUAUAUUACUAAAAUAAUCAAAGUGUGCAGAAAAGCACAUGACUGUUGUGUGCUGUCCAAAUUACAAUCAAGAAAACUGCAAACAUAGCCUAUUAUAUAAUAUUAAAAUGAGGAAAGUUUGCAGAAAGAUGUCUAAAGACUCAGACUCUUUAGACAAAAUGUCUCUCCCAUCACUGCCUUCGCCAAAGUCUCCAUCUCUGCCUUCGCCAAAAUCUCAGACUCUUUCUGUCUCUCCUCUUGAAUUUGAAUACCCACCCAUCCUCUCACAAUCAGACUCUGACCAACUUUCUGCACUCCACCACCACCACUCCUCACUGCUUCAUCCCCAACUCUGAUCCUCUCCAGCGAUUCUCUAUAUGUGUGGGGUUUCAAAUCAAGGUUCGGUUUCGAGAAAUCCUGAAAUACUGAAAAUAUUUCAGGAAUACCGAAAUUUUGGUUUAGGAUCAGUCCUCAGAUUUCCAUCUCGAAAAUAGUCGGUUUGGGACUUGAUAUGCCGUUUUCGGUGCGGUGUCCCAUACUGAACCAGCCUUACAUGAAACAGACUUGGGUGCCCAAAUCAUCGGAACAAGGACUGGACAGGUUUGAGUGAAGGAAUGCCCAAGGAUGCCAAAUUAAAUGAGGACUUGCCCAAAGCCCAACAUCGAGCCUAGAGACAAACUAAAGCCCUCUCAGUCAAGGCAUAAGCCAUGUGCGUAUGACUGAAGUGACAAUUGACAGAGACCAGCUCACUACCAGCCAAAAAGCACUUUAUAAUGGCAUAAAGGUGUAAAUACAUGAUGACUCACUACCCCUGAGAGCCCUCGACCAAGAACAAAGCUUUAACAAUCAGGCCAAAUCACCUAUAAAAGGAAGAAGAGACAACAGAUAUAAGGACACUCAAACAACCAAACAAACAACAUACAAACUCUGCUUUCAAGCCAGAUUUGCAUCCAUAAAAGCUGAAACCAACCUAGAUUUAGUCUUUUUAGUCCUAGUCUCUUUAGAAAAGCUAUCUUUUGUCUAGUUUAAAAGCUCUGCUACCUUCCCUAGUGUUGUAUUAUCGAUUCCCUCAUGUAAAACCUAUUUUCCAUCCAUCCUUUUUAGCAUACAACCCCUGUAAACUCAAAGAGAAGUGGCUGCAAGAUGCUCAACCUUGCCCGACAAGGUGAAAUCUUGCCUGAGUCUCUUUGUUUGUCCUUUAAUUUAGCAGAUCUAUUGUUUAAAUGUACUUUUCAGCAUGUAUUCAAGUUAUCACUAGUUAUUUCCUACUUAAGAGUCUUAUUUGCACCUAGAUCUAGUUAACUUAAUAAACCCGUUUUCAUUAAGAAUAAUCUGAAAUGGAGGAAAUGGUUUAAAGGGAUCUGGACUCCCUUCAUUUGAACAUACAAAAUCAUAAACUAAAAGUCCUUGUUUACAAGGCAAGAAAAAAGAAUUUAAUGCAAACUUAACUCAUCUGU